CAGGUUCAGGCCCUGACCCUUCAGAUGGGACUCCACAGCCUGCACCGCCCCUUGGAUGCUGGGCAAGCUCACUGUGUCUGCCAGAGUGAAAAAGGAUGUGGAGGAGAGCUCUGAUAGCUUCCACAACUGUGGGAGCUGGGUACUGCCUGGCAUCCUGCCCCGUUGUGGGGCAGCAGUCCCUACCUCCCCGCUGGUGUCACACUCCUCGUUGGCUGCCCAACAUAACUCACUUCUUCCUACCUUCAAUUUGGAGUACCAGAAUAACCCUGAAUACCCCAUCACCCCCUUGCGUGCCCUCAGAAAAAAUGGCUGUGGUUGGAAUGGCUCUUUUUAAACAAGUAUGAUCCAAAAAGGAAGGACUGGUUUGAACAGAUCAGGGUGCUAAACACAUCAAAAGGAGCAGAGGCUUGUCCUCACUUAUUGGUUUCACCCAGAAGCCUUGUCUUCACAGAAUUAGCUGGAUUAAAGUUUACAGUGCAUCCCUUGGGAGGAAUCCCUUGGGAGGAUGCCUAGCUGAGUUUAUCGGUAUAUCCUUACUGCUUGGAUGCUUUAACAAGACAUAUUUUCACUUCAAGUGGGACGAAUUUUUUACUGUAAAGCAACACAUUUUUUAUGAAUGUUCAUUCUUUCAUAUCCAACGUUUCAAACUGCUAUCCAGCUCUUUUUUAAUGACACAGGCGACUACUCUUAAGAGGAGCUUAACUACAUUUGCUUUAUAUAUUCAAGGAAUUUACUACUGCACAGGGUUUAUUUUACAGCAGAUUCUUGGUCCUUACACAUUGAGGCUGCCAGAUUUAUUUCUGCCACUAGAAACCAACCCCAGUUGGAUGUACAUAUUUCAAUGGUAGAUAUCAUCUUUCAGAAAGUGAUAUAACUGUGCUCUAGAGUCCUUCUGUACUGCGCAGCAGCUAUAGGGGCUGCUAAUGUCUGAUAGAUAGAUUCAUUUUAUCUUUGAAUUACACGAAGAUACAGAUACAGAUCUGGCUGACAUCUUUUUUCCUUUCUAGCAAUCUGUGCUUAAACUGAUCUUCCACAACACAAUUUCCCAUAGUUUUGCAGCUGUUUCACUGGCAGUGAAGUAGUGUGUGCUCUUAAAAUGCUUGGGAAAUCCUUCAUUUCUUGCUUUCCUUUUUUGUUUCACUGUUUUUGUUUCACAUUGUUACCAGUAAGGAUUUUGAGCUGGCAGGUAAGCAAAAAAGUGAGCACAAGUAAUAAAAAAUGUGGGGUAUAAUUCAGUAUUUGUUUACAGACUCUGAUCUGGACCUCCUCCAUUUUGCAGAUGCUCUAGCCCAGGGGUGUGGGGAUAAACCUUUCCAAGGAUCUAGGAACUACUGACUUUUCUGAAAUCCUGGUAAUGGGUGUAAGCAAUUCCAGUUUCUUUUUCUUUGCUUACCUGCUUGGAUCUCCUUGGAAAGCUGUUAGGCUUUAAUUGGCAUUUUUGGCUAAACCAAUAGGUGCAGUAUUUUUUAGGUUUGUGUUCAGCUUUUGCUUGUUAAAAACUGCAUCACUUAACUGGUGGUUGCCCCAUUGAACUGUCCAUUGUUCAUUUGCCUUGCAGAUCUGCCUUGCAGAUCUAAAAGGGGCCAGUUAGGCUAAUAUCAAACUUUUUAUACUGUCUUUUUUGUAUCAAAAGGAUACCACCAAGCCCAAAAGACACAGGAAUAUUCAUUUGUAUGGGGAUGUUAGUGUGCCUUUGCUCUCUGAUCACAAUUCACUGUGCACACAUUUCUGCAUACAUUUUCACAAGUGUUUAUUUGAUGAGCCUGCUUUGGGAGGAUUUAGGGAGCUUUUUUUGCAACAUUUUGGCCCCCAAGUUGUGUUACUGGUCUCAUGCUUUACACAAGAUUGAGUUAACAAAGGCUGGAAAAGUUAAAGGCAACCUGCUGUUCCCCUGCUGGACUAUUUUUUACACCAAUGAACAGCAGGACAAUCCUUUUUCCUGCUAUUUUUAACGAGCCCAGUGGCUUUAUGGUGGUAGGCAAAACUCAAGUCUUCCUUUAAAGCAUUUGAGUGGCCUGGGACUUGUAUCACCUUGCCUCAUGCAGCACAGGACUUCAUAAAGCUGUGAUGAAAACAAUUAGGGAGAAUUUGAUGAGGGAAUUUGUUGUGGGCCUGACCUAUGUGAAUUAAGUACCCAUAGGGCAGCACAGGUCUUUAUAAGACUACUGUUGCUGUUGCCUUCUAAAAUCAGUGGCUAUUUCUCAACACCUGGCUGAUUGUGAAAUGUGAGCAAGGCUUUCCUUUAUGCUAAGGCGCUUGGACCCAGCACGAGAGCGUGGGCACGCUGAGGUGCUGCUCAGCUUGGGAAUGACUUUGCUAGAAGUCCAAAUCCUUUCCCCAGCUGACUCAUCCACACACCCAAAACACAUUAUCAGUGGCUUUGGAGAGUGCAGCCUGUCAGGCAUGUAGCUUCACCUCAGGAUUCAAGAAGGCACGUUUGACUGGGUACAGCACAUUUCACAGUGUGCACUUUUGUGACCUUUUUUUGGAUAAUGAAUUAACUGAGUUCCAGGCUUUGUCACUCCACCAUACAUGAGGGAACUUUCACCAGCUUUGGUAAAUGAUUAAUUUCUUUGGACUAGCUGAGUCAUUGCAACAAGGAGAAGUCAUAGCAUGCUUAUUGGUAGUACUUUGAGACCCAAAGCAGUUGCAUAGCAGAGCGCACACUUGCCUUCCCACGUGCCAGCAGUCUCGCGUGCUGGCUGGGCAUGGGAUGAGAGCCAAGUAUGUGGGAUGAGCUCAUUUAUUUUGCUACAAUUUUUCAUCAAAAAUUUUCAUUUUUGCUUACUUUGGGUCUUGGCUCUCUUUUGGAGUGUAUGUGUUUUAGUAAAGGCUUCACUGGUCAGUGUAUUCAGUGUAUUCAGUGGUCAGCCCCUUGAGAUGUCCCUUUUAUGCCGGUUGUGCUUUGGAGAGCAGAGUAAGUUUGCUCUUCUCAUCACAUACUACCAGUUGGGGAUCUCAGGUAAUUUUAAAGAUGCUAUCACUAACUACAAAGAAGGCGCUCUAGUAUUCUGAGAGAGAGAUUCACUGCCUCUUUUUAGUAAAGAUUGACUUCACGAAUGUUUUCUUUGCUAAGAAAUGCUAAACAUUUACUUGAACUUUUCAGAUGAUUUUUAACAAAUAAAUAGGUAGGUAGAAACUGAUAUGGUAUUUGCAUUUCUUUGAUUCAGUGUCCUUAUUAUUCAUGCUAAGGAAAUACUUUGGGAACGAGCUCUGGCUGGUUCAUAUUUCAGUUAUUACAGUAGUGACAAUUUCAUUGUAAAUGUUCCCUUAGCUACCUGUUUUUUAGGUUUGCUUUCGUUUUUUACCAACUCUUUUUAAAAACUCACACUCUGGGCAGAUUUCGCUCUCUUAAGACAACACUGUCUGCCUCCGCAAGACUCAUCUGCAGGAAACUACACUCCUCACUCCGGCACUCUCUGCAUAUUUAAAGCUCCACCCCGACUCCAACCUUCUCCAGACACCUUACAUCCUUGCUCAGCACCCUGCGAGGCUCCUUAGGAAGGAGAAAACAGAUAGGAGGAAAAGAAGGCUGAAGGACCAGAGCUGGUGGGAAUCGCUGCUGGCCAGCCAAGCGCAGAGCUGAAGAA